UGGGGCUCAUUAGGCAGAGCGGGGUGCCGAGAGGUGUGCGCCGCCAGCCGGGAGGCCGCCUUUGAGCGGUCGGGGCGGCUUCAUUAAGCGGCGCUAACAAGGCAUACAAAUGCCGGGCCCAGCAGCUUUCUUGCAAUGUCGGGGCCUUAGCAGGGCGCCAGGCUAAUGAGGGUCACUCAAAGGGGCUGAUCAAAUAUUCAAAUUUCCCCGCACGCCGGGAACUUUUAUGUAUGGAGAAAGUUGAGGCAACUGAGCUGUGUUUACUGUCCUG
ensembl:misc_RNA